rnacentral:rRNA from 1 species
UACCCGCUGAACUUAAGCAUAUAUAAGGCGGAGGAA